AUGUGGGGAGAUGACCGUGACCCUCGAGGAUUGGGCGAUGAUUAUGGCACUACCGCUGGAGGGUCGUCCUCUCACAACCGCACUUCCGGCAUACCGCUGUCAUGGCUCCUCGAGCACCGGAGCAAGUGCCCGGAAGAUGCCGAGCCCCAAGUUUCAGCGAGCAACAAAACGCUCGACAUUCCGUCUCAUCUUUGGCCAAAAUAA
rnacentral:rRNA from 1 species